rnacentral:rRNA from 1 species
AGUGGCGGACGGGUGAGUAACACGUGAGAAUCUACCUUUAGGUCGGGGAUAACAGUUGGAAACGGCUGCUAAUACCGGAUAUGGCGAGAGCUGAAAGAUUAAUUGCCUGAGGAUGAGCUCGCGGCGGAUUAGCUAGUUGGUGGGGUAAGAGCUUACCAAGGCGACGAUCCGUAGCUGGUCUGAGAGGAUGAUCAGCCACACUGGGACUGAGACACGGCCCAGACUCCUACGGGAGGCAGCAGUGGGGAAUUUUCCGCAAUGGGCGAAAGCCUGACGGAGCAACGCCGCGUGGGGGAGGACGGUUUUUGGAUUGUAAACCCCUUUUCUUUGGGAAGAAGACAGUGACGGUACCAGAGGAAUCAGCAUCGGCUAACUCCGUGCCAGCAGCCGCGGUAAUACGGAGGAUGCAAGCGUUAUCCGGAAUUAUUGGGCGUAAAGCGUCCGUAGGUGGUUGAGCAAGUCUGUCGUCAAAGCGUGCCGCUUAACGGCAUAACGGCGAUGGAAACUGCUGAGCUAGAGGCCGGUAGGGGUCAGGGGAAUUCCCAGUGUAGCGGUGAAAUGCGUAGAUAUUGGGAAGAACACCAGCGGCGAAAGCGCCUGACUGGGCCGGAACUGACACUGAUGGACGAAAGCUAGGGGAGCGAAAGGGAUUAGAUACCCCUGUAGUCCUAGCCGUAAACGAUGGGUACUAGGUGUUG